AGGAAGGCCCACGCGGUUAAGUAGCAGGAGACUACUGAUAGUAAGUACAUUUUCGAUGUAGUAAAUGGCGGUUAUAAGUUUAUUUUUUCUGUCGGAAAACGGUAACGUACAAAAAGAUCUGUCUCAAUGUAUCAAAAGGAUCUUAUUAUAAAACUGGAUCAAAAGGAUCAUAGUAAAGAAAUUGAUGCUAGAAGCUCGCCGGUAAAAAGAACGAAAGCCCAUGUAGCCAAGCUUUAGCAGGCUACGGAUGGUUGUUACAUUUUAGAUGUAGUAAAUUGCGGUUAUAUGUUUCCUUUUCCGUCGGAAAACGGUAACGUACAGAAAGAGAUAAAAGGAGCAAUUGAUCAAAAGGAUCAUAGUAUAGAAAUUUAUCAAAAAGAAAAAAUUCAUAGAAUAAAAAAAAUAAAAUAAUAUUGUUACCGGAAGUUUGUCGGUUAGUAGACUGAAAACCCACGUGCCAUUUAUCAUGUUGUUAAUACGCCCGUUAAUACGUUUAUAGUCGUAUUUAAUAAGAAUGGGAGGCCUCGAUAUAUUUAAAAUUAUUAUUUAUUUAUGUGUUCUACUUUCGAUAUUAGAGAAGCGUAUCAUGAUAUUGAUACAUUCACAAACGGUGUGGUUUGAGCUAUCAAGAGAAUAGCAGGCAGUGUUAGGUUGUUAUAAGUUUAUAUUUGGCACGAUAACAGCCGAUCAUAUAUUUAUUUAUUUGUUCUACUUUCGAUAUUAGAGGAGCGUAUCAUGAUAUUGAUACAUUCACGAACGGUGUGGUUUGAGCUAUCAAGAGAAUAGCAGGCAAUGUUAGGUUGUUAUAAGUUUAUAUUUGGCACGAUAACAGCCGAUCAUAUAUUUACUAAAACUCGUUAAAACUAAAAUGAGGUGUACUAGCAUUCUUACGUCAAAUUGACUUAAAAUAGUUAUUUGCUUUUGUGAUGAUGGCAUACAUCACAGUGUAGAAUAUUUAAAAAAAACAACAACAUUAUAUGCUAGUGACUAGACGAGUUUGGAUGUUAACUGGCUGAAGAAACAGUAUUUUGAUUCCUUCUCAGAGAGUAGAAUGGCUCGGGCAUGUGAUCGAUAUGCAUAAAAUGCAGUUUUUCAUAAUUAAAAAUUGAGUAGCUAGGCUAGAAAAAAGUAUUGAUUCGAUGAUCUAUCUUAUUUAUCAAACGAAAGAAAAAAUUGUACCAAAAGAUAAAUUAAUAGCUAGUCUUGUAGGGCAGAUAAUUUCCUUUCAGAGUGUGAUUGUAAAUAAAGUUUGUGAUAACAAUGCAUAUAUACAAUUGCAUAAAUACCAGAGCUAGUUGGAAAGCUCCCGUUAUUGUAACGUUGCAAGCUAUUUCCAAACUUAGAUUAUGGAAAGAAAGCACUAGGCAGUUAAUCAACGAAAAGAUUCAAACACAAUCAGUUGUUUUUGUGUAAUAUAUUUGCUGAUGCAAGUACCACAAGUUAUGGUUUAUGAUGGUUUUAUAGAAAGUUGUAGCUUUAAUGUAGAUAUAGGCGAAAUGACUGUCAAGCUAACGAUUUUCAUAAAAAUAAAAAAGCAAAUUUAUUUUCAAUUUGUUUUAUUCCAUUGACGAAGAGAGUAAAGGUAUGUACUCGUGGUCUUUGAGACCCGAAAAUGAGAAAUUUGGAAUGUACAUGAUCUUAAUAAAAAGAGCAACCUGUUCCCGGAAGUGAACAGAUUAUUGACGAAAAGAGACAAGUUAUUCCUGGAAGUGAUUACUAUAUUACACUGUUAAAAUCAAGGAGGUACACUGCCAGUGUUUCUAUAAACGAAACAGGAAAUGUUUUGAGAGGUACUCUGAAGGAGCGAUUAGAGGGCUCGGGCUUGCAUGGGCUUCGAAGAGAUUAGAUGGCGGACAGAAUGGCUAAGUAAAUACUUAGAACAAUCAAGAGCAGACAAUACGGUGAAGAAAAGAAUUCUUCAUGUGCACAUUUCAAAUACUGUGAAGAAAAUGUAGUCGCCAUGCCAGCCUAACAUAUAUCAGUAGUAAUGUACAUGGCUCAAUUGAUGGGUCGAGGAAAUCUAAUAACGUUUUUUACAUCUGUGUUUUACAGUAUUAAAUGGAUCCAUUCUAUUAAUAGUGUACAUGAUCCAAAGAAAGAUUUAACAAACUAUUAUAAGAAGCUUCAAAGCGUGUGUGUUUCAAACCAUCUCACAAGAAAGAUGUAUUAUGUACAUGUGCAUUCAUUAGAGAUGAUACAAACAUUGUGUUUGAUAUAAGGAGAUUCCGCUGUUUUCAUUGAUUGAUCAUUUUUUGGGUUAUGCAUGUACAUGUAUCAUGCAUAUUAACAAAUUAAGUGAGUUUCAUUGUAAUGACCUACAAUUGAAAUCUAAUCACUUUGUUAUUAAUGUACGCCAUUAUAAUACUGGCAUGUAUACGAAUGGUCCGGAUAUUAUAAUUGCAAAAUGUACAACUACAAAUUCCCAUAUGGCGUUUUAUUAACAAAUAUGUAAUUAGCAAAUUGGUCAGAUGAAUGAUUUUUUGUUCAAACCAGUUAUUGGUUAUAUAAAUGUAAUUAUUAAGACUAGCUAACGCCAAGGGCGUGUUUUAGUGAUGUUUGAAGCGACAUUGUCGAUGGAAGUCUGAUAGGGCUAAAGAUGAGUACUUUGAUGAUUCUCUAGACAAAAAGCUUUUUAUCACCAGACAAUUGAAAUUAUAAUUGAUUUGCGGUUCGAAUUUUAAACCUUACUAACCUUUGUUUUUGUUCUAUCGCAAGCCUUGCCCAAUGCAAAACGUGUUGUGUUUUGUGCUUAGUUGUGUGAAGACUUUUCAGUUCUGUGCGUUACGGAGUAUAGCACAGAACGUAUGUCUAAACAUAACGCACCGCACAAAACAGGUAUAUGUGCGGUUCGUUCAUGCGUGUGGUUGUCACGUGAGUGAUGGUCACUCAGGUGGACAUAGGCGGGAAUUUGCACGGGGUGUUCAUUGUUUGGUCAGUUCUACGCUAGACUUCGAUCAGUAAACUUUUACUUUUUUAAAAUUCGAACCGCAUUAGUAGUAAAUUGGCUCAAAUGACAUGUUAUGUUUGUGUGACAUAAUGUUAAGUUACAUGUUAAUAUUGGUUGUUUUCAGGUACAGUUUUCCAGAGUUAUUUUACAUUGGGCUUCUGAUGAAUUUUUAUCUCUGGUUUUUACCCUGGCCUUGAAAACACCAAUUAAGGACACAAUACUAAAAGUGAUGUAUACACAUUAUAGUUAUAAUUUGUUAUAUAAUUUAUAGAUCGAAAAUUGUCCUGUUAAGGUUGUACUACGAUUGUACUUGAUUGCUAUAUGAUACGAAUAUGUAAUAUUCGUGGAUGUGUGUUGUCAAUAAACUGAUCGCAAGCCUUGCCCAAUGCAAAA